rnacentral:sRNA from 13 species
CUCCAGUGGUACUUUUUUUUCUCCUUUAUAUUUUUCGUACUCAUUCUACAUUCCUAACUGGAAGAGGUGGAGUUGGCAUUCUUUAAUGUGUAAGUGUCAUGGGCGUUGUGUGUGCUAUGACUGAUGUUCAAACCUGGAGGUCGAAAUUUGUUUACCAAGACGUCUGUUGACUCAAGAGUGAUGACUUAUAAGAAAUGACCACUAUUUCAGCUAUGUGACUUAAGUCUCUUUAUGUCGAAAGAUUUUCAUACAGCACUGCUGCACUUUGGUGUGAUCAGAAAAAUGUUAUCAUUUGUUCUUACAUUUAUCACAAUAUUUUCAUUGGGAGCUGCUAAAU